rnacentral:rRNA from 1 species
ACUCCUACGGGAGGCAGCAGUGGGGAAUAUUGCACAAUGGGGGAAACCCUGAUGCAGCCAUGCCGCGUGUGUGAAGAAGGCCUUGGGUUGUAAAGCACUUUCAGUAGGGAGGAAGGUAGUGUAGUUAACACCUGCAUUAUUUGUACGUUACCUACAGAAGAAGCACCGGCUAACUCCGUGCCAGCAGCCGCGGUAAGUACGGAGGGUGCGAGCGUUAAUCGGAAUUACGUGGGCGUAAAGCGCAUGCAGGCGGCCUGUUAAGUCAGAUGUGAAAGCCCGGGGCGUUAACCUCGGAAUUGCAUUUGAAACUGGCAGGCUAGAGUCUUGUAGAGGGGUUAGAAUUUCAGGUGUAGCGGUGAAAUGCGUAGAGAUCUGAAGGAAUACCGAGUGGCGAAGGCGG